UUUGCUCCUCUUUAAAUUAUUCUACUAUGUCAUCCAAUUUUGAACUAUUCUCACAACAUCAACAUUUAUUUAGAAAUUUCAGUUUAAUUGAUCACUUCUUCGAAUUCUUCAAGCAGCCUCAAAAUUUGCACUCUUCUCCUCCUUGUAGUGUGGUACUACCCUGUGAUUAUCCUUCUUACAGGAAACAUGGCAAUUGCUGAGGUGGCAAUCGAGUCGAACUAAAUAUUAAUAUUCUCGUAUUCAAUUUUACGCUUGUUGAGACGAGCCCCGGGCUUAUCUAGCUAACGAGCUUUUAUCGAGUCGAGAUCUGAAUAGCUUGUUGCAUCUUUUCUAUAGCCUCAAUAUUAAUGGUUGGGAAUUGAUGAUAUCUCUCGGGUUCAUGGCUGCAGCAAGUGUUCGGAUAUCGAACGAGCUCGGGGCAGGGAACUCGAAAGCUGCAAAAUUCUCGAUCGCGACGAUUGUGAUCACGUCUUUAAGCAUAGGAUUAGUGUUGUUUGUUGUGUUUCUGGUGUUUAGGCGGCGCGUGGCGUACCUAUUCACCGAUAGCGAGGAGGUCGCUGCGGUGGUGGAUCACAUGGGACCGUUGUUGGCCUUCUCCAUACUCCUCAACAGUGUCCAACCGGCUCUUUCCGGUGUUGCAAUAAGAUCCGGAUGCAGGGUACGGUUGCGUGGGUGAACCUGACUACAUAUUAUAUUAUUGGGCUUCCCGUUGGAAUCGUGCUUCUAUACUUCCUCGAUUGGGGAGUUGAAGGCAUUUGGAUCAGGACGAUGAUAGUCGUGCUCAUUCAGUCUCUCGUACUAGUUUGGAUUACUUAUGGAAUAAAUUGGGAGAAACAGGUGGAGAUUGCUCACGGAAGAGUAAACAGAUGGCUUGUGAAAGAUGAACAAAAUUAAUAGUGUGGGAUUACAGAUUCCAGGCCUUGAUGAAUGGUUCUUAAUAAUUUAAAUUUCAAACAAUUAAAUUGGAGAUGGUGGA